GGGACACGUGGUAUCCUGUCUGAAUAUGGGGGGACCAUCCUCCAAGGCUAAAUACUCCUGACUGACCGAUAGUGAACCAGUACCGUGAGGGAAAGGCGAAAAGAACCCCGGCGAGGGGAGUGAAAAAGAACCUGAAACCGUGUACGUACAAGCAGUGGGAGCCUCUUAAUGGGGUGACUGCGUACCUUUUGUAUAAUGGGUCAGCGACUUAUAUUCUGUAGCAAGGUUAACCGAAUAGGGGAGCCGAAGGGAAACCGAGUCUUAACUGGGCGUUAAGUUGCAGGGUAUAGACCCGAAACCCGGUGAUCUAGCCAUGGGCAGGUUGAAGGUUGGGUAACACUAACUGGAGGACCGAACCGACUAAUGUUGAAAAAUUAGCGGAUGACUUGUGGCUGGGGGUGAAAGGCCAAUCAAACCGGGAGAUAGCUGGUUCUCCCCGAAAGCUAUUUAGGUAGCGCCUCGUGAAUUCAUCUCCGGGGGUAGAGCACUGUUUCGGCAAGGGGGUCAUCCCGACUUACCAACCCGAUGCAAACUGCGAAUACCGGAGAAUGUUAUCACGGGAGACACACGGCGGGUGCUAACGUCCGUCGUGAAGAGGGAAACAACCCAGACCGCCAGCUAAGGUCCCAAAGUCAUGGUUAAGUGGGAAACGAUGUGGGAAGGCCCAGACAGCCAGGAUGUUGGCUUAGAAGCAGCCAUCAUUUAAAGAAAGCGUAAUAGCUCACUGGUCGAGUCGGCCUGCGCGGAAGAUGUAACGGGGCUAAACCAUGCACCGAAGCUGCGGCAGCGACGCUUAUGCGUUGUUGGGUAGGGGAGCGUUCUGUAAGCCUAUGAAGGUGUGCUGUGAGACAUGCUGGAGGUAUCAGAAGUGCGAAUGCUGACAUAAGUAACGAUAAAGCGGGUGAAAAGCCCGCUCGCCGGAAGACCAAGGGUUCCUGUCCAACGUUAAUCGGGGCAGGGUGAGUCGACCCCUAAGGCGAGGCCGAAAGGCGUAGUCGAUGGGAAACAGGUUAAUAUUCCUGUACUUGGUGUUACUGCGAAGGGGGGACGGAGAAGGCUAUGUUGGCCGGGCGACGGUUGUCCCGGUUUAAGCGUGUAGGCUGGUUUUCCAGGCAAAUCCGGAAAACCAAGGCUGAGGCGUGAUGACGAGGCACUACGGUGCUGAAGCGACAAAUGCCCUGCUUCCAGGAAAAGCCUCUAAGCAUCAGGUAACAUCAAAUCGUACCCCAAACCGACACAGGUGGUCAGGUAGAGAAUACCAAGGCGCUUGAGAGAACUCGGGUGAAGGAACUAGGCAAAAUGGUGCCGUAACUUCGGGAGAAGGCACGCUGAUAUGUAGGUGAAGCGACUUGCUCGUGGAGCUGAAAUCAGUCGAAGAUACCAGCUGGCUGCAACUGUUUAUUAAAAACACAGCACUGUGCAAACACGAAAGUGGACGUAUACGGUGUGACGCCUGCCCGGUGCCGGAAGGUUAAUUGAUGGGGUUAGCGGCAACGCGAAGCUCUUGAUCGAAGCCCCGGUAAACGGCGGCCGUAACUAUAACGGUCCUAAGGUAGCGAAAUUCCUUGUCGGGUAAGUUCCGAC
rnacentral:rRNA from 1 species